GACGAACGCUGGCGGCGUGCCUAAUACAUGCAAGUUGAGCGCUGAAGGUUGGUACUUGUACCGACUGGAUGAGCAGCGAACGGGUGAGUAACGCGUGGGGAAUCUGCCUUUGAGCGGGGGACAACAUUUGGAAACGAAUGCUAAUACCGCAUAAAAACUUUAAACACAAGUUUUAAGUUUGAAAGAUGCAAUUGCAUCACUCAAAGAUGAUCCCGCGUUUUAUUAGCUAGUUGGUGAGGUAAAGGCCCAACAAGGCGAUGAUACAUAGCCGACCUGAGAGGGGGGUCGGCCCACAUGGGAACUGGACAACGCCCAAACUUCCACGGGAGGCAGCCGGAGGGAAUUCUCCGGCAAGGAGGAAAGUCUGGCCGAGCCACGCCGCGGGAGUUAAGGAGGUUGUCGGAUUGGAAAACCCUGUUGGUAGAGAAGAAAGAUGGGGAGAGUGGAAAGCUCAUCAAGUGACGGUAACUACCCAGAAAGGGACGGCUAACUACGUG
rnacentral:rRNA from 1 species